CCCACCAAAUCAGGUGGACUAGCUGCAGCGCUCACUCAGAGCAAGUUCAGCGUAGAUGCUUGUUAAGAAUGUGCAAUGGUUACCGUGGGAAUUAUCCCAUCCCUCGAGGCUAGGGAGUUCUCGGCGCUAAUGAACGGCAAGGAUGAGGCUCGUUAUCCUCCUCUGUCUGUCUGAUAUUCAGCCACAGUGUCUCAUCUCGUACACGCGCCUCUCUCUAGUAAAGAUGGAGGAUAGACAGUGGAUUUGGCUCUCACGUGGACCUGAGCUUCGAGAUAGAUUCCCAGUGGUACGGUUAGAAUGAGAGAUGAUAUUUCUUCAAGCAGCUGAAGGUCAUCAUCAGCCAGGUUCAGGUUGCAUGAAAACAGAGCAGUGAUGACUCAUCCUGCACUACACAGAUUUUUUGUCCAAUCAGAUGCUCUCUCUUGAAGAAUGGCCCGCCCCCUUAGCCACAUACAACCGACUAGAAAUGGAGCAGUGAUGACUCAUCCAGCACUACAGAUUUUUGUCCAAUCAGAUGCUCUCUUGAAGGAGAACAUCCCGCCCCCUUAUGCUGCACACAACCGACUACUGGCCCAUCCCAAGAGUGUUGUGCAUUGUGCCGGACUGAAGAAAUCUCAUCACUGUAUUGAUACAUCACAAAAGCCAAGCACAAUCAUCAUCUGUGAAAGAUCCUCUGAGACCAAUUUAAACCCCAAAGACUUUGACCAUAACAUUUAAAUCAGCAAAACGGUCUAAUUCAGUGUUGGCUAUGAUAGUCCUGAAUACAAUUAUUGUACCUUCAACAUGGCAGAAUUCAUUAAAAUAGCCAUAUAACUGAUAUCAGUGUUAGUCCAAUAUUUCCAUAAUUUCCUCACUGUAAAAUAAUUGGACCUAGAUCUCGUUUUAAGGCCAUGGGAGAACUUUGAUGGCACUCAUUUGCAAUGAGGGUGUCUUUUUCAAACAAGACAUUAAUUAAGUUAGAGUAUCC
rnacentral:lncRNA from 1 species